rnacentral:rRNA from 1 species
AACGAACGCUGGCGGCGUGCCUAAUACAUGCAAGUCGAACGUUAAGUGUAGCAAUACACUGAAAGUGGCGAACGGGUGAGUAACACGUAAGUAAUCUGCCUUUAAGAUUGGGAUAACCUUGCCAACGCGGGGCUAAUACCGGAUGUGAUCAGUGAGACGCAUGUCUUAUUGAUUAAAGGAGCGAUCCGCUUAAAGAUGAACUUGCGGCCCAUUAGUUAGUUGGCGGGGUAAUGGCCCACCAAGACCGCGAUGGGUAGCCGGCCUGAGAGGGUGUACGGCCACAUUGGGACUGAGAUACGGCCCAGACUCCUACGGGAGGCAGCAGUAGGGAAUUUUGCGCAAUGGACGAAAGUCUGACGCAGCAACGCCGCGUGAGGGAUGAAGGUCUCCGGAUUGUAAACCUCUGUUGGAUGGGAAAAAAAGGUAGCAAUACUUUGAUGGUACCAUUUGAGGAAGCACCGGCUAACUACGUGCCAGCAGCCGCGGUAAUACGUAGGGUGCAAGCGUUAUCCGGAUUCAUUGGGUUUAAAGGGUGCGCAGGUGGGAAUGUAAGUCAGUGGUGAAAUACUGCCGCUUAACGGUAGAGCUGCCAUUGAUACUGCGUUUCUUGAGUAUGGUUGAGGUA